UAUGUUGAUGAGCUUCUAACUUAUUAAACAUUAAUUAAUUGAUUGAUUAAUUAUUAUUAUUCUCAUUAAGUUAUGAGAACUAUUUUAUUGAUAUUUACGUGCCAUUUUGGAGUCUUUGCCUGGGGUGGGAGCAUGGGGGUUCUUUUUAGAAAAAGUAUGUUGAUGAGAAAGUCCAUAUCAGCUUUAAUGUUCUCAACUGGGCAUUCAUCAACUGAGGAUAUCUUUUAUAUUAAUCUUGAAUUUCAGUGGAUUAUUAAUCAUGAGCCCUUCCCCUUUUUAAAUUUCAGUACUUUAAUAAAGUAUUCUUAACCAAUGUUUUUGUUCACAAAAUAAUUUUAUGUGCAGCUGCAACUUACUAUAGACAGCCACCCUACAUAAUUUAAUUUACAUUUACUAAAAUUCUGUUGAUUCGAAGGCUAGAAUGAUGGCUCGGUGGUUAAGAGUACCAGCUGUUCUAUAGGUCCUGAUUCUGUCUCUGGCACCCAGAUGACAGCUCACCAUCUGUCUAAUUCCAGUUCUGUUGACUACAAUGCCCUCUUCUGGUCUUCAAAGAGCACUCACUGCAUGCAUGUGCUGCACAGAUUCUGGCACAAAAACUCAUACAUACAAAAAUAAUAAAAAAUAAUUUUUAAAAAUGUCAAAUGGAUUUCUCAAGUUUAUGUGUUUAAGAAGCAGUUUUUUGAUACAGAGCAAACCAAGGGAUUUAUGCAAGCCAGGCUGGCAGUGUCUGCUGAGCUGAGUGCCCAGCUCUUCCCGGAUAGCUCAGUGUGGGACACCCUGGUGAUGUUCUCUCUUCUCACUAAUAACAGCAAUCAGGUCUUGUUCAUUUGG
rnacentral:sRNA from 1 species